rnacentral:lncRNA from 1 species
UCAGAUACUACAUUUUUUGUAUUCAGUAUGUUCCCCCUAACUUCUCUCAAGUACACCAUUUCCAUGUACGCCUAACCAGACUUCCCACAGCCAAACCCUGCAUCGCUAAGGAAGGUGUGUAUGCGAGGGCUGCCAGGAGAAGUCUUCAGCCACUGAAUGAAAGCUAUGGGGACAGAGAUACCUCAGAUCCUUUGCUCCUUGGCAGUUUCAUCAAGGUGUAACAGUAAAACAGGGAGCCAAAGGAGGAAGAAGUCCUGUUCCCUUUCAUCUGCACCUGCUCCUUUCAAUGUUCUUGAUGACAUGUAAGAAGCUUUACUCCCGGAUGUAUCCUGCGCUCCUAGAACAAUCCUUGCCCCCAUAGUCGCUGCUCAAUAAAAUACUGUAUGAAUGACCA